ACAUAGAUCAGUGGCUAAGAGAGCGAGCGCGCGGGGGUGCUAGGUCAACACACGACGGGAUUCUGCUGCGCCUGGCAGAAAAUGUAAAUAUGAUUCUUCAGAAAUACGAUAUCUGAAGAAUCGAACCAUUCAGCUUUUUACUCGUGCCUUUUCAAUUAUUUUUGGCGUUUUUGGUGCUGAAUAUUAUAUUUAUAUGUGCUUAUGGGUGACCUGGAACAAUCGCUGAAGGAAUUAUCAAGAAAUGAGUGUUAGAGGUGAGUGUUUGUAUUGGGCCAUUCCAUUUAAUAUGUGCACCCCCCCUAUUGAGGGGUCCUUAAAAGUUUUACCCCCUUAGGAAAUUGAACAUCAAAGUGCCGACACAUUCCCCCCCUUGGAAAUUGGCCUAUGUUGUUCGAAGAUCAAAGGGACCGACUGAUUUACCCCCUCGGAAAUUACCAAUAUUAACCCCUCCCUCCCCAUAGGAUUUCCAGACCCCUCAAUAGGGGGGGGGGUGCACAUAUUAAAUGGA